rnacentral:rRNA from 1 species
AGCAGCCGCGGUAAUUCCAGCUCCAAUAGCGUAUAUUAAAGUUGUUGCAGUUAAAAAGCUCAUAGUUGAAUUUCGGGAUCGAUGCGUCGGUCGUGCCUUCGGUACGUACUGGCGUCAUCGAUUCCUCCCUUCUUGAAGAACCGUGAUGUCAUUAAUUUGGUGUUACGGGGAAUCAGGACUGUUACCUUGAAAAAAUUAGAGUGUUUAAAGCAGGCUAACGCUUGAAUACAUUAGCAUGGAAUAAUGAAAUAGGACGUUCGAACCUAUUUUGUUGGUUUCUAGGAUCGACGUAAUGAUUAAUAGGGAUAGUUGGGGGCAUUAGUAUUCAAUUGUCAGAGGUGAAAUUCUUGGAUUUAUUGAAGACUAACUACUGCGAAAGCAUUUGCCAAGGAUGUUUUCAUUAAUCAAGAACGAAAGUUAGGGGAUCGAAGACGAUCAGAUACCGUCGUAGUCUUAACCAUAAACUAUGCCGACUAGGGAUCGGAUGAUGUUAAUUUUAUGAUGA